rnacentral:rRNA from 1 species
CCUACGUGAGGCAGCAGUGGGGAAUAUUGCACAAUGGGGGAAACCCUGAUGCAGCGACGCCGCGUGAGGGAAGAAGGAAUUCGUUAUGUAAAGCUCUAUCAGCAGGGAAGAAAAGGACGGUAUCUGAGUAAGAAGCCCCGGCUAACUACGUGCCAGCAGCUGCGGUAAUACGGAGGGGGCAAGCGUUAUCCGGAUUUACUGGGUGUAAAGGGAGCGUAGACGGGAGUGCAAGUCUGGAGUGAAAGGCGGGGGCUCAACCCCCGGACUGCUCUGGAAACUGUACGGCUGGAGUGCAGGAGAGGUAAGUGGAAUUCCUGGUGUAGCGGUGAAAUGCGUAGAUAUUAGGAGGAACACCAGUGGCGAAGGCGGCUUACUGGACUGUAACUGACGUUGAGGCUCGAAAGCGUGGGGAGCAAACAGGAUUAGAUACCCUAGUAGUC